rnacentral:misc_RNA from 1 species
AAGUGCGAUAUAUAGUGCGAUCUGCAUGAAUCUGUGAGUCAUCUAGUAUUUGAACGCAACUUGCGCCAGCGUAUAGCAUGGCAUGUUCCAUCGAGUACCGGUAACAUGGAUGUAGUUUUGUAGCAAUGCAAAACCAUGAUAUGGCGCGUGUUUGUGCGGUGGUACAGACUGCGCUGAAAUGGAGCAAGUGAAGGGUGAGGAUGUUCUCACGUGUGCCAGAGACAAUUUGUCUUGUCACGCGGGAGCAGAGUUUACCUUGAAUAUUCCAAUUAACCAAACUCAACGGUCUCGGUGGAGCAAGAUUACCCGCUGAACUUAA